rnacentral:rRNA from 1 species
AUGCUCAUCCUGAAGCCUAAGCCAUGCAUGCUUGAUUGACGAUCAUCUGAAUCUGCGAACGGCUCCGCACACCAGUUGUAAUCCAUAACGGGUACACCAGGGAAGACAGAACGCAUAGGACAUCCUAAUCUAGGUUGGGCUCUGUACUUCAAGAAGCGCUCUGCUCUGGCCUGGCUACCCUUGGUAAUUCUAAGGCUAACACGCGAGAAACUGCCCCUCGCCGGACGGGUCUCCGGACCCCUUCGAAAACCGGCUGGGGACGGUGCGUUUAGGCUUAGGGCGAUAGGAGUUAGCGCACCGGUCAGACCUCUCUCAAGCGAUGGGGGUUUUGGAAAUUGUACGUAGCUUGGGCUCUCACAAGUCGGGCCCAACUACGGCGAAGUGGCCCUCAUCAGGAGGCUCUCGACCGGGGCGUCUGACCUAUCAAUUACACAGCAGCGUCUGGGACGCGUUAUGGUUUCAACGGGUACAGAGGAUAAGGGUUCGAUCCUGGAGAGUGGGCCUGAGAGAUCGCUCAUACUUCUAAGGAAGGCAGCAGGCGCGUAACGUUCCCAAUGGGCAAGUCACUUCCCUGAGGGCGUUAUAGGAAAUAUGAAUGGACCGUCUCUUAAGGCGUCCAAUUCAAAUGGGCGGC